rnacentral:rRNA from 1 species
CUACGUGCCAGCAGCCGCGGUAAUACGUAGGUCCCGAGCGUUGUCCGGAUUUAUUGGGCGUAAAGCGAGCGCAGGCGGUUAGAUAAGUCUGAAGUUAAAGGCUGUGGCUUAACCAUAGUACGCUUUGGAAACUGUUUAACUUGAGUGCAGAAGGGGAGAGUGGAAUUCCAUGUGUAGCGGUGAAAUGCGUAGAUAUAUGGAGGAACACCGGUGGCGAAAGCGGCUCUCUGGUCUGUAACUGACGCUGAGGCUCGAAAGCGUGGGGAGCGAACAGGAUUAGAUACCCUGGUAGUCCACGCCGUAAACGAUGAGUGCUAGGUGUUAGGCCCUUUCCGGGGCUUAGUGCCGCAGCUAACGCAUUAAGCACUCCGCCUGGGGAGUACGACCGCAAGGUUGAAACUCAAAGGAAUUGACGGGGGCCCGCACAAGCGGUGGAGCAUGUGGUUUAAUUCGAAGCAACGCGAAGAACCUUACCAGGUCUUGACAUCCCGAUGC